GGCUGUUGCCAUGGCAACAAUCUGCUGACAAGCAUAUGGACCCUGAACCUUCCAUGGCCUGAAACCCCCACAGGCAGACAUUGCCCCUUCACACCACUGCCCACUGUGGACACCGUGGACCCACCUCACUGUCUUGGUCUGUCCCUGUUGAGAAAAAAGCAAAAUGGACACCUGAGGACCAAGACAGCUGAGCCUGCCCAGGCUGCCACAGAUUCCUCAGGCUCCCAACCCCCACCCAGGGAAGGACGGCCUGGCCACUGCACGGCCUCAGGACCCGGGCCUAGAGCAAGGACUGAGGUACACAAGGAGGGGGCUGCUCUUUACAAGAGGUCCUAUAGUGGGAGCCACAGUGUGGGUGUUGAAAAUCUCCCAAGAGCUGACGGAGAGACGGAUGCCAAGCAAGCACACACCAGCUACUCCCACCCCUGCCAGCACUGGGCAGGACACCUGUCCUUACCUAACCUGUGUAAGUCACUGAGGUUCUCCACAGAAGAGCGUACAGGAGCCACCCCCUGCCUAUUUAAACGUCACCAAUGAGAUGCAGAGCCUGGGGCAGCCCAGGCCCAGUGACUAUAGUCAAGACCAUCUUCUGAGCCCACCAACCAAGGGGUGCCCACCUUGGGAGAGGCCAUGAUGUAUCUAAAAGGAGGAUUGGGUCCUGUUUACACAGGGAGUGUGGCCUCCAGAGCCAUGGUGGAACCAGAGGCUCAGACACUUAAAACUCCAAGACAAUAGCAUGGCAGUCCCUGGAACACUCAAACAGUAUUCCACCUGACCCAGAGACUCUCUUCCCCUGUAUUCGAGGGAACUGAAACCAGAGCUCUACCCAGAACCUGCAUACAGCUCUUUCACCAGUACUUUCAACAACAGUGAGAAACACGUGCAUUCCAAAGGGUCAGAACAGGUUUCAUCCACAGACGGGUCCUGCUCCUAAGUAGGAGCAAAGCAGGAGACCUGCUACCAUUUGGAAGGACCUCAGAAACACAGCACUCAGCCAGAAUCAUCACCAGCAGGCAUGUACUGUGUGAAGCCACAUCCUCCAAGCAUCUCAAGCAGCCAGCCACAGAGGUGACAGCAGACUAGCACAGGGAUGGGACCAUGUUGGGCACAGCAUUUCCACCCGCCAUGACAGUGCCCUAAUGUUCACUGUGGUGACAGCUCUGUAAGUCUGACUGGAGUGAAAACGACUGAAUCGCACACUUUAUGAGCAUGCCGUGUGGCAUGUGGCCCACAUCCUAGUAAGGAUGUUUGGAAAAGAACAGGCACAGGCAUUGCUGGAGUUGGUCUGCCUGGCUCCAGAUCCUGCAUGUGGCAGGAGCCUGCUUGGAGCCUCAGUGUCCUCACAAGCAGAAUGCAUGAGGCUUAGCAGGUGAGUGGACCCAAUUCCUGGGCCCUGUCCUGUGCCCACCAGGCAAGGGAUUCCUAGCCUCUGUUUUGGAAAGGAAUAUGACCGAAGACCUAGGAGCCUUCUGGGGCCAAAGACAACCUCCUCCCAGGAAGAGCAAAAACAUAGCUUUUGGGGACAUGGACAGCAAAUUCACAAUGACCCCACCGGGACCCUGCCCAUCUCACAGAGCAUGAAGCACACUCCCUACUCCCAAGCCACCAGCCAGUGCUUAGCUCCAAUUCACAUACAGAAUGAGUCCCCUAUAGGCACAUGAGGAUGGGGGAGUGGGUCACAGCAAUGAGACAAUUUGCAGUUAGACAAAACAGGCUUGUUUGCAGCCAGUGCCUGCGUGCCACCAUCCACACCACGCAUGGUAACAGCAGGCCUGCCGGGCCAGGCACCAGACACAGCCAAUUUCCCAAUUAGGAGCUAUAAACUCACCAGUGCAUGGUGUGCCCUUCAUAGUGCAAAGGAGGACCAGCUUCCAGCUCCAGAAUUUAGCAAGAGAAAAGAAAUAACAGCAGGGGUAAGCCCUGGAGGAAGACCUGCAGAACUGGGGACUCUGGCCAGGUAGAGGGGUGAAGUGAAACAUCCCACCAUGUACUCUUGGGAUGGCAAUGGAGAGAGAGAACAAGAGGGAAAGGCCACCUUGGGUAAUGUGGAUUCUGGGAAAGGGUGAGGAUGAGGCCCGAAGGUCAGGCCUUUCCCUCUAGCUCUCAGCCAAGGUCCCAAUGCCAGCCACCCCUUCUUCGCUCGGUACCACCAAACCCAGCUUUGUUGAGGGAGGCCUGGACCCAUUCCCCGUGCUCAGCCUCUUCUCAUGACUACAGCUGAUUCAGGCUUUAUCAUCCUCUCUUAGCAACCCAGAUUCAGUGGAAGGUAAGAAAUACAAGGCUUUGGGUCAUGAAGGAAGAACGGGCCAAGCGUCAGCAGGCCCAGCUUCUGAAACAUAAAAUCUGAUUUGGGCCAUCUGUGAGCUGCUGUUCCCAGCCCUAUAAGUUCUUCCUGUGACAGUGUCUGGCUUUAAGAACAUUCCUCUGGAUGGCAGCUAGGGGAGGUGGGGGUGUUGCUGGGCAGCAGCCCAUGUCCCGGUAUCUCCAGCUUGCCACCAGGUACCACCUGUCCAACAGAGGGCCUGUGUGAGCCCCUCCUUGCUUACCAGGUUGGUGUCACCAUCCCUGUCCCAUGUGGGGUGUCUUUCACAUCCCAGAGUCCCCAUGGAAGCCAGUGACCUUGGGAUCAGCACCCCAAAGGGCAUAACCUCUGCAGAAAACAGAUCAGGCAAAUAAUCUGCUACAGACUUACAUGCUGCUAACCAAGGGACGGUGUGGGCCAGUGAGUAGGCUCGCUGUGAGGAAUGCACACAGGGUUUGUGGUUGCCCCUUGCUUCCUAUGAACACCAGGUCACAGAGGGCUCCCCUGCUCUAAGAUGCUAGAUUUCAGGGCCAGCAAGGAUAGGUGACCCAAGCAAACCCAAACACACAAACCAAGGUCCUACUGAGAGGACCUGAAUCUCAUGGAUAGCGGUGAGGUGUCACAUGGCCAGCUGAGACCCCAUGACCUGGUGACCCACUGGCACAAGAAAUGUCUCUAAGGACCUGGCCCUGGUGCCUUUGCCUACUUUCCUUUCCAAGGCUCCUGCAGAGAUGGGGAAGGAGAAUGCAGCUGGGAUAAGGCUCCAUUGGCAGGCAUAAGGUCUGGAAGGUCAAUGCUUGGGCAGGCAGAGUGGCUACAGCCACGCACCCAGGCCACUGCUGCAGCCCUCUAUGGAAUCUUCACUAUGCUAGUGAGGAGCUACAGUGCCCUAUAGGAACAGCAACUCCCACGGCUGAGGAGUUCACAUCAGUACCUCCCAUAUCACCCAGGCUAGAUAGAGAUCUGGGUGUCCAAGAUACCCACAAAGGUCAAGGGGCUUCAUUCCACAGGAAGAUGUCCAGCAGCUGAUGUCCAGACCAGCAAGAGGCCAGGCCAGGCCAGGCCAGGCCAGAGUGGAUUCCAAUGAUGUCUGCUGUGUUUAGAGUAUGGUUGCCCACUAGAGAGUAUGAAAAUACAUGAAUCUAGAGAAAGAACAAAUCAUCCUUAGCAUAUGUCGCAAAUGUUACAUGAGCCACCGCAAUGCUAAAAUGUUCUUCGCUGUUAUCAUAAACUCUAACUUCAUUGGGUG
ensembl:lincRNA uncharacterized LOC102012030